UACGUAGGGCGCGAGCGUUGUCCGGAUUUAUUGGGCGUAAAGAGCUCGUAGGCGGCUUGUCGCGUCGUCCGUGAAAACCUGCAGCUCAACUGCAGGCUUGCGGUCGAUACGGGCAGGCUAGAGUUCGGUAGGGGGAGACUGGAAUUCCUGGUGUAGCGGUGGAAAUGCGCAGAUAUCAGGAGGAACACCGGUGGCGAAGGCGGGUCUCUGGGCCGAUACUGACGCUGAGGAGCGAAAGCGUGGGGAGCGAACAGG
rnacentral:rRNA from 1 species